rnacentral:rRNA from 1 species
UCGCCUCUUGAAUAAAAAUAAGAGGUCCAGCCUGCCCAGUGACCAAUGUUCAACGGCCGCGGUAUCCUAACCGUGCGAAGGUAGCGUAAUCACUUGUUCUUUAAAUGGGGACUAGUAUGAACGGCAUCACGAGGGUUAUACUGUCUCCUCCAUCCAAUCAGUGAAACUAAUCUCCCCGUGAAGAAGCGGGGAUAAAUCUAUAAGACGAGAAGACCCUAUGGAGCUUUAAACUUUCCCUCAAGUAUCAUAAUAACUUUUCAAGUCACAGACUUUCCUUAUUUAUCCUGAUGCAGUGUAAGCAAGUUUUAGGUUGGGGUGACCACGGAGUACAAAAAAACCUCCACGCUGAACAUAGGCCUCUAAACCUUAAACAAAGGACCACAGCCCAAUGUAUUAAUAAAUUAACAUUCAUUGACCCAAUAUAUUUUUGACCAACGAACCAA